rnacentral:rRNA from 1 species
GACGAACGCUGGCGGCGUGCCUAAUACAUGCAAGUUGAGCGCUGAAGGUUGGUACUUGUACCAACUGGAUGAGCAGCGAACGGGUGAGUAACGCGUGGGGAAUCUGCCUUUGAGCGGGGGACAACAUUUGGAAACGAAUGCUAAUACCGCAUAAAAACUUUAAACACAAGUUUUAAGUUUGAAAGAUGCAAUUGCAUCACUCAAAGAUGAUCCCGCGUUGUAUUAGCUAGUUGGUGAGGUAAAGGCUCGCCAAGGCGAUGAUACAUAGCCGACCUGAGAGGGUGAUCGGCCACAUUGGGACUGAGACACGGCCCAAACUCCUACGGGAGGCAGCAGUAGGGAAUCUUCGGCAAUGGACGAAAGUCUGACCGAGCAACGCCGCGUGAGUGAAGAAGGUUUUCGGAUCGUAAAACUCUGUUGGUAGAGAAGAACGUUGGUGAGAGUGGAAAGCUCGUCAAGUGACGGUAACUACCCAGAAAAGGACGGCUAACUACGU